GUUGAAACACCGUUUCUCGUACGAUCACCGAAGUUAAGCAAUGUCGAGCCUGGUGAUUACCUAGAUGGGUGACCGAUUAGGAAUACCUGGUGCUGUU